AAUCUUGCGCAAUGGGCGAAAGCCUGACGCAGCCAUGCCUCGCGAAUGAUGACGGACCUAGGAUUGUACAAUUCUUUCACCGGGGAGGAUAAUGACGGUAACCGGAGAAGAUGCCCCGGCGAACUUCGUGCCAGCAGCCGCGGUAAUACGAAGGGGGCUAGCGUUGCUCGGAAUUACUGGGCGUAAAGGGCGCGUAGGCGGACAUUUAAGUCAGGGGUGAAAUACCAGAGCUCAACUCUGGAACUGCCUUUGAUACUGGGUGUCUUGAGUAUAAGAGAGGUAUGUGGAACUCCGAGUGUAGAGGUGAAAUUCGUAGAUAUUCGGAAGAACACCAGUGGCGAAGGCGACAUACUGGCUCAUUACUAACGCUGAGGCGCGAAAGCGUGGGGAGCAAACA
rnacentral:rRNA from 1 species